AGAGUUUGAUCAUGGCUCAGGAUGAACGCUAGCUACAGGCUUAACACAUGCAAGUCGAGGGGAAACGACAUCGAAAGCUUGCUUUUGAUGGGCGUCGACCGGCGCACGGGUGAGUAGCGCGUANCCAACCUGCCCACCACUUGGGGAUAACCUUGCGAAAGUAAGACUAAUACCCAAUGAUAUCUCUAGAAGACAUCUGAAAGAGAUUAAAGAUUUAUCGGUGAUGGAUGGGGAUGCGUCUGAUUAGCUUGUUGGCGGGGUAACGGCCCACCAAGGCGACGAUCAGUAGGGGUUCUGAGAGGAAGGUCCCCCACAUUGGAACUGAGACACGGUCCAAACUCCUACGGGAGGCAGCA
rnacentral:rRNA from 1 species